UACGGAGGAUGCGAGCGUUAUCCGGAUUUAUUGGGUUUAAAGGGUGCGUAGGCGGGACGGCAAGCCUGAUGUGAAAGCCCGCGGCCCAACCGCGGGACUGCAUUGGGAACUACCGGGCUGGAGUGCCGGAGAGGUAGGCGGAAUUCCUAGUGUAGCGGUGAAAUGCGUAGAUAUUAGGAGGAACACCAGUGGCGAAGGCGGCCUACUGGACGGUGACUGACGCUGAGGCUCGAAAGCGUGGGGAGCAAACAGG
rnacentral:rRNA from 1 species